GUGGGGAAUAUUGGGCAAUGGGCGCAAGCCUGACCCAGCAACGCCGCGUGAAGGAAGAAGGCUUUCGGGUUGUAAACUUCUUUUAUGUAGGACGAAGCAAGUGACGGUACUACAUGAAUAAGCUCCGGCUAACUACGUGCCAGCAGCCGCGGUAAUACGUAGGGAGCAAGCGUUAUCCGGAUUUACUGGGUGUAAAGGGCGUGUAGGCGGGAGUGCAAGUCAGAUGUGAAAACUAUGGGCUCAACCCAUAGCCUGCAUUUGAAACUGUACUUCUUGAGUACUGGAGAGGCAGGCGGAAUUCCGUGUGUAGCGGUGAAAUGCGUAGAUAUACGGAGGAACACCAGUGGCGAAGGCGGCCUGCUGGACAGCAACUGACGCUAAGGCGCGAAAGCGUGGGGAGCAAACAGG
rnacentral:rRNA from 1 species